UUUUUCUUGUUCUGAAUAAACACGGUAAAAUGUAGAAUUUCCCUGGACCAUGUGAAUAUGUCUUCAAACUAAAUAGUUUAUAGUGUAAAUAGAAAUGGAACAAUGAUAAAUAAUGCUGGUACAGUUCUUAAAAAUUCUUAAAGCAACACUCCUGCUACCAUAACAACUUCAUAUUAAAAAUAGUAUGAGUAUUUUUUAAUCUGUACUUGCAGCUGGUGGCUAGUUAUAGC